rnacentral:rRNA from 1 species
AUUGAACGCUGGCGGCAGGCUUAACACAUGCAAGUCGAGCGGAGAUGAGGUGCUUGCACCUUAUCUUAGCGGCGGACGGGUGAGUAAUGCUUAGGAAUCUGCCUAUUAGUGGGGGACAACAUUCCGAAAGGAAUGCUAAUACCGCAUACGUCCUACGGGAGAAAGCAGGGGAUCUUCGGACCUUGCGCUAAUAGAUGAGCCUAAGUCGGAUUAGCUAGUUGGUGGGGUAAAGGCCUACCAAGGCGACGAUCCGUCGCGGGUCUGAGAGGAUGAUCCGCCACACUGGGACUGAGACACGGCCCAGACUCCUACGGGAGGCAGCAGUGGGGAAUAUUGGACAAUGGGGGGAACCCUGAUCCAGCCAUGCCGCGUGUGUGAAGAAGUCCUUAUGGUUGUAAAGCACUUUAAGCGAGGAGGAGGCUACUGAGACUAAUACUCUUAGAUAGUGGACGUUACUCGCAGAAUAAGCACCGGCUAACUACGUGCCAGCAGCCGCCGUAAGAC